rnacentral:lncRNA from 1 species
CUGAUCGCUACCGAUCUGAAGCCAGAGCAGCCAGAGCCACCGCGUCCCAAACUGGAGGUGCUAGAGAAUGAAUGACCGCCCAUCCACGCUCACCCACAGCAGCUCUCCACCGAUGGCUGACAGGCUUGGUGGACAAAUACCCCAACUCCCUUGCAUCUAAGGUGGGAUUCUUCUGAAGAUGCGUGGUCUACAGGGGCGCCCAGAGAUUCCCAGCAGGAUUGUUCUCCGGCUGUCCACAGUGGCGACUGACUUGAUAACACACUCUGUGCUGGCCACCUUCCCUUCCUUUCCUUGUAUCACUCUCUUAGUCACUUACCAAGGUUUCCUGGGAUCAUCUUCCAAAUAAACUUACUGUACCCAAAUCCUUGUCUCAAGGUCUGCUUCUGGGGCAACUCUAAGACACCCUCCUAAUACUUACUAUAGUCGCCUACCUAAAUUGAGUGCAUCCGCCGCCUCAUUCUGAAGUCAGGGUGAAUGAGGUGCUCUUGUUCACAAUGGUGUCACAAUGCUUGACAUACUGCUCAUGAUUAGUGCCAAUAAAUAUUAUCUGAUUGAAGAAGACACAGUAUAGCCUGUGGAAGAGCUUAACCAUCUGGCAGGGAAGACAGACAUGGGCAGAUAGGUGACAACUCAGAGAAAUAAGGGGAGCAAUGAAAACACACCCAAAGGCAACACAGAACGGGGAGUGAUUCAUUGUAUGUAAGGUGCCGAUGGAAAGACCUCCGGGUGUUAAAUGACUGACUGGACCAGGUGGGAAAACAGGGAAGAAGUUCAAACAGAAACCGGAGCAGAGGUCAGGUGCCUCUGGGAAGCCAACUUUUGUAUCCUGUGGUGCAGUCUGGGUCCUGAGCCUCCUGUCCCCUGUGACUUAUUUCUGAGGCCCUGGGUGAGAGAGGCUGUAUCAAAACUGAGUGUGACAUGGAGAGACUGAGGCCUCAGCAGCACAGCCACCAGUGACAAGAACAAAGAACCUGUGAUAUGGGUAAGGCCCCAGACCCUGGCUCUUGGCCUUGCUUUGAAAGACACCAAGACUAGCAGGACUGAAUAGCAUCAUCAGACACGACAGGCAUAGUUGCACUUGGAGUGUCAACAGCAUAAGCAAUGCUGCUGCCGCUCAUGGGGAGUUUUUGCAGACUUUACAUGGCAGCUGCUUCAGAUGAGGACCCGGCAGGGAAAAUGGCACACUCAAAAUGGCUAUGGAAGAGAGCCUAACACAUGUACUGCUGGCAAAUGUUUGAACAGAAGGUAGAAAAAGCAAGUUUCUAAAUCCUGACCACAACACCAGAGGUCUAAUAACAGUGGAGAUCCAUCACUCUCCUAGUCCUGAAGAAGCCAAGGGACAGACCCUGCUGAGUGUAUAUAUUGCACUCUGUGUUCGUUACCUAGUUCAGGGUAACAAAGUACUCUAAUACUUAGCAUCUUAAAGUAACAAACAUUCAUUAUCUCACACAAUUUCUGAGAGUCAGAAAUCUGAGAGUAGAUUACCUGGGUCAUUCUGGCUCGAGGUCUCUCAAGAGGAUCCAGAAAAGAUGCUGGUUGGGGCUGUAGCAACUGAAGGCUUUACUGGGGCUAGAGGAUCUGAUUCCAAGAUGGUGCACUCACAUGGCUGUUGGCUGGAAGCCUUAGUUCUUCAUUGUCUGUUGGACAGAGAGCUCAUUUCUGUGCAAAGUGAGCGUCCCCAGAGGGCUGCUUAAGUGUCUUCACGAUGUGGCAGCUGGCUUCCUCCAGCAUGAGUGACCCAAGAGACAAAGCAGAGCAAGGUGGAGAGCACAACGUCUUUUAUGACCUAACCUUGGAAGUAACAGCUCCGCUUAUAUUAUUUGUUAGAAAUGAGUCACCAAGUCUAGGCCACACUCAAGAGGAGUGGAAAUAAGGCCCACCUCUUGAAGGGAGGAGUACUGAACAAUCUGUGGACAUAUUUUAAAAUCAUCACAUACGCCAAAUUCUUUGACAACUAUGCGGCUAGAUUUGAAAUGCUGACCAACACAGACUUUAAAAACACCAAGAUGGAGUCCACAGUCAGAGCAGGACCCGAAUCUUCCCUUUUAUUGGGAUUAUUGAAAAGUCCCAGCUGAGUGUAGCCGGCCUUCAUUUUGUUAACAAUUGAAUCUCAGGUAGGUUUCCCUGGGAAUCUUUGCACUGCGUGGUUUCCAGAAGGUUCCAGUUGAUGCAGAUGGCAGUCCGUUCUGCUUCCGAAGGAGCAACUGAAGCUCAGCUAUGGAACUAGUCCUUCCUUCACAGAGAAGCACGCUGCUUUCCUUGUCAUGCAAGUGUUUAUCUCAUGAUCUGAUUUGGAAAGCCUGUCCCCGUAUCCAGACUGGUUGAGAAGCAGGGAGGAGGGUCAGUUCCCGAGUAACAAGCCAGCCAUUGAGACCCCGAGGAAAACAAUGAUCAUUAUCCUAAGUUUCUCAGCAGACCAUGUUGGGAUGUGCAUUGGUUUCUUGUUCCAUUUCUCACCUCUCUCGUCGGUGCGCACUUCCUCCCCCUCCUCCAUUAGUCCAAUUUCUAACCAGGAAUCCAUUCUAGAGCCCAUUCCUAUACUCAGUUACUGUCAAUUAGCUUCUGAUUUUGUCUCCAACUGCUAAUGAGCUUGUCUUCCCUUCCCUGAGGCAUCUACAUUGAGAAAGAAGAAUCUAGCCUAAGGGGCAUCCACAUUGUAGGAAAAGCCUGGUAGUUACCCAGGAGAAAAGUAAUGAAUAAAGAGUAGUUACUUUUCCA